rnacentral:rRNA from 1 species
UACGUAGGGGGCUAGCGUUGUCCGGAAUCAUUGGGCGUAAAGCGCGUGUAGGCGGCCCGGUAAGUCCGCUGUGAAAGUCGGGAGCUCAACCCUCGGAUGCCGGUGGAUACUGUCGGGCUAGAGUACGGAAGAGGCGAGUGGAAUUCCUGGUGUAGCGGUGAAAUGCGCAGAUAUCAGGAGGAACACCAAUUGCGAAGGCAGCUCGCUGGGACGUUACUGACGCUGAGACGCGAAAGCGUGGGGAGCAAACAGG